CUCUUUGCAGAGUGCAUCGGAUCAGGAGCAAUCUUCUCGUUGUCUGGUUACAUUUCUUUAUUUUCCCCCUUCUAUUUAAUCCUCUCUAGUGCCUUAAUUAAUUUAAUUUCCCUUUUUUCCUGUUUGAUUUCUCACCCCACCCCUUUCCCUGCCCUGUGGGAAGAUUCUCCCUGUACCUGUGAGCGCUGCCUGUGCGUAAUCCUCCUGGGCUUGCCUUUCCCAAUAGGGAGAGAGCCCCCAUUAGGGGCUUUCUUUUGCAAAGAGGUUUUCCCCAUUUUUGCCUGUUUAAUUGUGGGGCUAGUCAGGGCUGUUCCCAGCUUAGCUGGAAUCACUUCGUUUAUAGUAUCCCCAAAGGUGGCUUUAUUUUGGGUGCAUGCAGUGCUGUUGGCUGAGUUUUAAUUUAGCCUUGGGCAGGAGCACUAUAUUGAGUUCCUUUAAUAUUGCAAUGAGACAAUAAAAGGCAGAGAGCAGAAGCAGGGAGGCCAUCACAGCCUGCACGGCCUGCACAUAUCAUUCAAGCCUAAGCCUGCUACAGUUAGCAGUACAGUAAUUGUUAAGUCUCUGUGAUGUGACUCACUUUCUCUAUAAGAAUUUAUCUGUUUGUUUGCAGGCUCACUUGUUGCUAAUGUAUAUCUUAGGCAGACAGAGUGGAGCCAGAGGCUCUCUGUGCCUCCAGUGAGCACUCUGUGUAUGCUCUUUAACUAUGCUGUUUCAGAACAAGUUUAUUUUCUUCAAGUUUGUUUUGCCCUGAUAGUGGCAAUUGCCAUUUUAGAGACGAGCCAUUGUGGCUUAGUGGCUAGAGCGCAGUACUAGGACCUGGGAGACAGGGUUCAUAUCCCCCACUUAGCCAUUGUUAUCACAAAACAAAACAAGCUGCUCCUUUUGGACUAUUUUGUUGCUGGGUAGUUCGGCCCAUUUGUGAUAUUGCUCCCAAAAAGAACUUUGGGUUUUCUUGAGGAGGUGCUUCCCCCUAAAGGGCAAACAGGGGUACCUGGACAGGCGGUGGGCUGCCUCGAGUUUGUUAUCUCAUUGGAAACAUUUAUGUCUGGCCUAGCAGGUGAUCUUAGGGCUUGGCCCUAGAAUUUGAUGGCCUCUGGCAGCGUUUCCGGCCUGAAUAGCUUCCCCAUGUGGUGCACAAAGCAUUGGUUUCACCAGUUCCUCACAUUUAGUUUUGCAGACUAUGACAGGGCCUUUGCAGAUGCCUCCAGAGCUUGCCUCUCCUGCAGAGGUUGACUUGCUGAUGCCCUAGGUGCCUUCUUCCAGAAGGAAGCGUCUUCGGAGGCGGCGAUCCAGGAGCAGGGAAAAGGGGAGCAGGGAUGAUGCUUACACCUCCUUGCAGGUACGUCAAACCUGGGUCUUUAGGGAUCAUCCUGGAUAGCUCAGCUGGUCAGCGUAUGGUGCCGGUAAUACCUAGGUUGCAGUAUUGGUCCCUGUAUGGGACAGCUGCAUGUUCCCCAUCACUCUACCCGGUCACUGAGGUCCAGCGCCGAGGGCCUUCUGGUGGUUCCCUCACUGUGAGAGGCCAAGUUACAGGGCACCAUGUGGAGGACCUUCUCGGUAGUGGCACCCGCCAUGUGGUACGCCCUCCCAUCAGAUGUCUACUACCAGACUUUUAGAAGACGUCUAAGGCAGCCCUGUUUAGGGAAGCCUUUAAUGUUUGCUGCAUUACUCUAUUUCAAUCUUUUGUUGUAAGCUGCCCAGAGUGGCUGGGGAACAAAUAGAUGAUGAUGAUGAUGAUGAUGAUGAUGAUAUUGUGGGAGAGUGGACCAGAUGAUCCUCAGGGUCCCUUCCACCCCACUAUUCUUUAAGUUGCAAUUCACUAUGGGAAUGUUAGAUGCAGGGCUGCCAUCAUCCCCUCAGCUUGCUAGGAUCGCAGGGACGGGGACAUGUGGACCACUUGUGCAGCUCUACAUUUCAAAUGGAAAUUCCCUGAGCUAUGGAACCUUAAGCUGGUAUGCAGGAAGCUGGCCCGGCAGCAGCUUUGUUGGGACUUUUUAGGGUUUCUGGCCGGCGUUGGCCCUGCAAAUUUACACAUCAUGGUGGCAACACAAGGCAGGGCAUUUUGCCCAAUGUGGGGGCUGGGGGCUAGCAAGCAAUAACUCAAUACCUCUCGCCCAUAUUUCCAUAAAAAUAUCUUCCUUGAAAGCCUGGCCAAAUGGUUAUCUAGAUAGGUCAGUGGUUUUGUGCUUGUGGGAAGGGUUUUCCCAAGGUUUGGGAUUCCUCUGGCUCUUCAGCCAGUGGCUCAGAAUACAGCAACUCAAAGCCAGUCAGAGAGCUACCUGUGGUAGCAAGUAAGAAGGUUAGGAAGCAGCUUUCAUUGGGACGUAUGGUGGUAUCCCCUUGAUUCUCCUGCUAUUCCUAUUUUCAUUUAUCCCCUUUGGGGAUCGUCCCUAAGAAAGCCCCAUAUAAUCCCCCAUAUAAUUUAUCGCAUCCCAAAGGCACCUCAGUGAAUGACUCUCUGGAAUUGUUCCGCAAAAUAUGCAUCUUUGGAUCAGGCAGUUGAGCUUACCAACAUAUUGGAAGAGGGCCUUGUUGGCAUUAUGCGAUUUUGAAUUGACUGUUAGGCUGCUGCCGGUUCACCCUCAAGAUUAUAAGUAGUUGGGCUUAAUUGGAUGGUCCUUACACUUAUAAGGCGAUGCCAAUGGGUUGCGCUAUAGGCUGUGCAGCACUCGAGUCCUUUAGCGUCUUUCUGGAUUGAACAUUGCAAGUCAAGACUUGUUUAACUGGGGGUACCAUUAUUUGGAUUAUCUUACUAGUUGGUUCAUGUGAAACCAGCCUCUGCUAAGGCUUACUGUACGCCCCUUUUAUUCCCUGAGGAGCUGGGUGUUCCCAGUGGAUAGGACAGUGGCUCCUACUGCCCCUUUUAAUGUAUUUGGGGGCUAGCUGGAUACCGUUGCUCGUACCUCUGCUUGCCUGUGGAAAAGCUGUUUGCCGUGAAGGACGUUAUUCUUGUAAUACUUCCUCUGAUAGCAAAUGUUGCUUUGUCAGAUUCUAUCAUUGCUAGGUCAGUAAAAAAAAAAAAGUGGCAUGCAGGGUGGUUGUUCCAGGCUGCCCCUUCCAUUCCUGCUUGGCCAGGUGGGGUCUCAUGGCCCAGGGUCCCUUCAUCAUCCUGUACAGUGGCCUUGAGCCUGGCAGGGCAAGGCAAUCACAUGUGACCUAACUUUUCUUGAGUUUUCCCCAUUGUAGUCUCAGCGCACAUCUGGACUGAGGAGUACAGGGACCAUCGGGUCUGUCUUGGUCUGAUAACCAGGCAGUGUGAGGGUCCUGGCAAAAUGGUCCUCAUGCUUCGGCAGAGUCUCCGUCCCCUUUUAUGUGCUUUCCAGCUGCACUGCUUAAGGUUUAAUAUUGCGUUUCUGCUCGCUUUAUUACGGGAUCAUCUAAUGUUUUCGCUGUCACUCUAUCCCGUUUUCAGUUGGAGAGCUUCAGAUCCUGGCCUCUGGAUGCCCAGCUAUAGCCGGAUUUUCUGGAGCUCCUGUGGCGCUUUGGCAACAAUUGAUAAUUAAGAGGAGUAGUAGCUUACAUUUCCCCUUCUGCUUUCAGGCCUGGACUGAUUUCUUAGCAUUUAGCUGGCAGUCCUCGGCCAUUCAGAGGAACUUGCCUCCAUCCUCUGAGCAGGACCUGCAGUAAUUGGACUACCUGCUGCAGAUCGGAUGCACUGUUAAAACUAUCAGAAUUCAGUCCACUGCAAUGUCUGCUAGAGUAAAGCUUUAAUUUUUCAGAGACCCUUCUAAAAGUGUGUCGUGCGCAGGGUCUCGGAAGGUUGUAGAAGGCUCCAGCCUUCACAGGACUGCAGGCAGGAAGCCGGUCAAUCUUGACCUAUGCAGUAUCCGCAACAAGUUAAGACUUGUCUCCUGCUUCUAGAUCUAGACGAGACUUCUUUCAGUAUUCCAUUGUAAUUUUGGUGUACUGAGGGUUGGGGAAAUUGUGUUGGAGCCAGCACAGGGCUGAGAGUUUGGAGGCUUAUUGCCUCUGGAUUUUUCCUUAUCUGCUUUGGAGCUUGUCAUAAGUGUCUGGAGCUCUAAGUCAGACCUAGUGGGCUGGGUUGCCAUCAUCGGGCUUCCAGUCACAGGUAGGUGGGCCCUUGCCCUGUUAUUGGAUACCAGAAAUAUUUGGCUUUUCGUUCCCCUGGGGGCUGGCUCGAUCCUAGAAGUUGCUGGUUCUCGUGGGUUGCUCCUUCGGGAUAUAUGCGUUUCCCUUUGGAGUUGAGACUUGUAGUGCGCAACUCCAAAACUGACCAGCUGGGUCGGGGGGGAGGUUGUCCGCCUCCCAGCGACUGGGGAGGUGGGCCCGUGCCCGGUCAGGGAUGUAAGGAAGUACUUGGCCUUGAGACCUCCUGGGGAUGGCCCCCUACUCAUGCAUGAAAAUGGUCACCCUUUGGCGCGACACCAGUUCACAAAAGUCAUGCGUAAGGCCAUCUCUGCUUGUGGGAUCUCGGCCUCUGGUUUCGCCCCUCAUUCCUUUCGCAUAGGUGCAGCAACUAUGGCGGCCCAUUGGGGCUUCUCAGGCGCCAGGAUCAAGGAUUUGGGGAGAUGGAAAUCGUAUGCUUUCAAGGGUUAAGUGCGAAACAAAAUGCUGAGUUUGGUACUAAUGCUUGUUUGUUUCAACCCUUGCAGAUCCCACGCUGGUCCGCGUCUGGAUAGUGGGACACAGCAUCGUUCAUUGGGCUGGCAGCAGAGCGAGGCAGUCUGCAAGGGAGCGUGUCUCGGCCUCCCACAGCACGUGCAAGUGUCAUGGUUUUCCAGACGUGGAAUGUCAUGGGGAGAGCUUAUGCCGCUGAUUGGUCGCCGGCUGCUCUCGGACCUGCCCACCCUAUGGCCAUAGUGGUGCAGCUGGGGAAAAAAUGAUGUGGCAACUAUUGAUUGCCUUGCUUUGCGCACCUCAGUCCAAAAGGGAUUUGGAGGCAUUGGCAGCCUUAUUACCUUCAGUGAGAAUAAUUUGGUCUCACCUGUUGCAGAGGCAAACCUGGCACGGUGUUUCCCGCCCAGAGGCCGCUGAAAGGGCCAGGAAGCGCAUUAACUCUGCUGUUUGCGUGAAGGUAUUGGAGCUGGGUGGUUUGGUGAUUUCGCACCCAGACAUUAAUUUUAAGGCUGAGGCCCUUUACCGGGCAGAUGGAGUGCACCUCUCCGAUUUGGGGAAUGAUGUUUGGCUGCAUGCGGUGGCUACUAAAUUGGGUUCAUGGUUGGGUUUGUGAGUGGUUGGCGGCGAGCGUUAGAGCUCGUGUGGCGGUUAGGCAUUGGUUAUAAUAUGCUGGUGGUGGAGGGGUCAGGAUAGGCCGUGCCUGCCCCUCCCAUUGCGCUGAAGGGAAUUCCGUUAAAGGAAUCCUGGGGCUUGCCAUGAUUUCGUCCAAUCCCUGUCAUGGGACCAGGGCCGCCCAAUCCCUGUCAUGGGAAUCCUUGUCAUAGGAUCUGGGCCGGCAAGCUUUUGGGGAGCUGCUGGGGUGAGCGGCGUGGGUCCGACGCUUAGCUCAAAUGACCCCCAGUUUGACUUUCUCUUCUACUGGCUACCGAUCAGACCUCGGGAUGUCAGUUCUGUCCCAGGCGGGGGGACAGAUAGUCAUAACCAAUGUCUAAACAACCACUCACUGAUUUUGUAUUUUAAUAAAGUUGUGGCCAAAAUAGUGCCC
rnacentral:lncRNA from 1 species